GUGGACGGAACAGUCGCUCGAAAACGGAGUGAAUGUUGCAUCAAUAACAAAAGAAACUUUUCUUGCAUAGAAGCACGCCAUCCGUUUUUCUAAUCAAGCUCUCUGUGAAAGUUCUUACCUGCCCAUUGCGAUGCAGCCGAGCUGACAAGAACAAGGAGGUGGCAGAGAAGGCGCUCCAGCCAUGAGGAACACCUGCAGAGGGAUCGAGUGGGAAAGCUACAUGGACUUAUCGAGGAGAACGGGGGUGUUCAAAGUGGUACAGCUUCCUUUGGUCCUGCACUGCUGCUGCUGCUGCUGCUGCUGGUGGAGGUGCUGGUGGAGAUGGUGCAUGCGGGGAGAACAGCUGAUGGAGACGCAGCGCCUUGAUGGAAACAGAGAAGAGGAGUGGAGCGCGAGAGUAGUGACCUGUAGGAGUUCCGCCAGGUCCUAAAAGGGAACACGUUCACUUCAAUCAGCUGUUUGCACGACCAAUUACAAACCACAACAACACAACAGCGGACAUUAUAACAAUAACACAACUUUGAUCAUUACUAAAUGUAUUUAUUUGUGCUCUACUAAUCUAUUUCAUGAUUUUCCACAUAUUAAAAUCGAACUGGUAACACUUACUGAA